rnacentral:rRNA from 1 species
UACAGAGGUCUCAACCGUUGUUCGGAUUCAUUGGGCGUAAAGGGUGCGUAGGCGGCGGGGUAAGUCAGGUGUGAAAUCUCGGGGCUCAACCCCGAAACUGCACUUGAUACUGCCUCGCUUGAGUACUGGAGAGGAGACUGGAAUUUACGGUGUAGCAGUGAAAUGCGUAGAUAUCAGGAGGAACACCGGUGGCGAAGGCGACCACCUGGACAGACACUGACGCUGAGGCGCGAAAGCGUGGGGAGCAAACAGG